GAUGAACGCUGGCGGCGUGCCUAAUACAUGCAAGUCGAACGGAAGGACGAGAAGCUUGCGUGUCUGAUGUUAGCGGAGGGCGGGAGAAACACGCGUGUAUCCCCUACCUGUCUGACUGGGAUCACUACGGGACAGCGGAGAUAAUAGGAUAUGAUCUUUUGCACCGCAUGGGUGGAAGGUAAGAUACGGUCUUGGUGUAUCUUCUAGCUGGAUCCGCGCUGCAUGGGCUGGUUGGUACGGUAAAGGGUUACCAAGGCAACGAUGCGUAGCCGACCGGUGAGGGUGAUAGGCCACACUGGAACUGAGCCACGGUCCAGACUCCUACGGGAGGCAGCAGUAGGGAAUGUUCGGCAAUGGGCGAAAGCCUGACGGAGCAACGCCGCGUGAGUGAUGAAGGUCUUCGGAUCGUAAAACCCUGUUAUUAGGUAAGAACAGAUGUGUCAGUAACCGUGGACAGCGUGACGGUACCUAAUCAGAAAGCCACGGCUAACUACGUG
rnacentral:rRNA from 1 species